CUCUCUCUUUGAAAACGUCUCCACCUCCGCCUCUGCCUUUGUCUCUAGUCGUCGUCGUCGCCUUCCUCUCCCUCCUCCGGUCGUCGUCGCCGCCUUCGUCUCCCACCUUCGGUCGUCGUCACUACCUCCUGAUCCGCCUCCAGUCGUCAUCGCCGCUGCCUCAAGGUCUGGUUCUUCCAUCGCCCAUUUCGAUUUCCCUCUUUGCGAAAAGAAACCCUAAGGCUAAACUCCCCCCCUUUUCUCUCUCACUCUUCCUCCGCUCUCUCUCUCUCUCUCUCACACUCUCUGAACUUCCGCCUCCGCCCUCGUCGGUCGCAGCGCCGCAGCCUCCACUUCAGCCUUCGAUCGUCAUCGUCGUCGCAGCCUGCACUUCGGCCUCCGCCUCCACCAGUCGCAGCGCCGCAGCCUCCACUUCAGCCUCUGGAUAUGUCACAAAGAACACCAUAUGGUCAGGGUAUGCGACGUCGUCAGUUUAGAGAGAGUGUUGGCGAGGACCACAUCGGUAUGCUCUACACCUCAUCUUUAGCCUAUUCAUCACUUUGCAUGUUGAACCCCUCAAUUAUUUAUUUUUGUAAGGGGACAUUCAUCUCCUUCUGAUGUGAGAUUUGAUUCCCCUAGUCCACAUACACUCCAGUGCUACACUGAUGGGCCUUCUACGCUUGCUGAGGUUGGGGGUUCAUCAACACCCACUACUAUCCCUCAAAACCAUACCAUGAUACGUCCCUUGGGUUCCUCGUAAGCAUUCUUGAUUUUAUUAAUCAAUUUUUAUUUGCACAAAGUUUUAGUAAAUGUUUUCACAAACUAAUGUGUGUUUUAACAUGUUUGAUAAUAUUUGGUGCAAAUGAGAUAUAACACGAAUAAUUCAAAAUAAGUUUGAGAAGUCAUACCGGAGUUGGAAAAAGACAGACCCUGCUAUUAGGGAUAUGUGGUUUGGCGAAUUUAAGGCUGACUUCCAGAUGUGCUAACAUGAUGCAUCAUCACAAUCAUUAGUAGUUGGCUUGACAGAAGAAAGUGACAUUGCUGGACAGCUCCUGCAGCCAGCUUUUGAUGAGACAUCAUUAUGGUUAGAGGUUGCAAGUGGGAAAAAGAAGGGUCGUGUGUAUGGAAUGAGGUCAAGAAGCAUAUGUUAUCCCUGGUUCCUAUCAUAUGUUGUCACCAUCGCCACCGCCUCCACAGUCGUCAUCCCUCUCACUUGCUGACCAAAUUCAACAAGUUGUUAGCGUAGCUAUACAACCAUUGAAUCAUCGUUUAUCAGCCAUAGAAGUUCAUCGCUAUCGCCCUCAAAUCCUUCGGAUCAUUAGGAGAAUCCAUCAUUGCCAUGGAUGGAUAUUACAUUAUAUUAUUUUUAUUGUUCAUAGACGAUGUGUUUUAUUAAUAUUGUAUAGAUUUCUUGUUUAAAUUUAAUAUUAUAUGAAUUUUUUGUAUGAA